CACAUGUGCUGGUGGGCGGCGGCAGGUUUCGAAGCGGACGGUCGAACUUGUGGAAAAUGGUGAAUUGCGGGAAACACGGACCCUUCUGCACAGGCCGCAAUAGAAUGUAUCAAUGGUACCUAGCCUUCUAAAUCUGCAAUGGACAUUGCUAGAGCCAUUCUUUCUCCACUGAUCGUGGGCCACGAAAAUGGGUGGAAGAUGUAAAUGCAGUUUGGAAAUCUUUAGCUAUUGUUUCUGAGGCAUUUCUUGCUUGAGGCACUCUCUGAAGAAGUUGAGGAUUGCACUGUACAUAUGCCGUUUGCUUUUUUCAUCUGUAAUAAAGUGGCCUUCAUCUGGGUAAAUCUGUCUCGCAAGUAAAGGAGUAUUGGUAAAAAGCUACAAACUCCUGGUCAUCAACAUGACAACAGAUCUAACCUGAGCCCAACACAUUGAUGCAAUCAUGAAGAAGGCAUGCUGGUCACUCUAAUUUGUUAGGAGUUUGAGCAGGUUUGGUAUGCCACCAAGGACCCUUGCAAAUGUCUAUUGAUGUACUGUCAAGGGCAUUCUGACUGGCUGCAUCACAGUGUGAUACACAGGCUCUGAGGGACAGGAUUGCAGAUACCUUACACCAGGGGCUCCCAACUUGAGUUCCAUGGACUCGUGGGUUAAUGAUAGGGGUCCGAAGCAUAAAGAUGGUUGGGAACCCCUGCUUUAGAGGAUUAUUGACCCAGCCAGCUCCAUCAUGAGCACAACCCUCCCCACCAUCAAGGGCAGCUUCAAGAGCGGGUACCUCAAGAAGGACCGUAUCCAUCAGUGAGGACUCUCGCCAUCUAGGACAUGGCCUCUUGUUACUACCACUGGGGAGGAGGUGUAGGAGCAUGAAGACUCAUAAUCAGCAAUUCAAGAACAACGCCUUCCAUUGUUUAUACUGAUGUUGGUACAAAAUUUUCAAUGGAGAAUUGGAACAAUUUCAGCAAAAUUUGUAAAAUUAAUAUAUUCCGAAUUACAAGAUACUUUGACCCAGUGGAGCAUGGAUUCAAAAAAAUCUCUUUUGUAUCUUUGAAAAAGCAUUAUAUAUUUCCAAAGGAAAACAAAGCCUGUUAUUUUGUAAUGCAGUGUGCUGUGAGAAAAACUUUCUCUACCAACGUUCUCGAAAAAUAAUUCUAAUAUACCAAUAGGAGUUUAUAACAAAUACAUAUUCAUAAUUUAUCAUGUGAAGUAGUAUAUAGUAUUGUCAAAGAAUAAGUGAAAAUAUUGCAGAAGUAAUGAAUAUUUUAACUGUUGUUCUUUUUUAAAGUAAAAUUCAC